rnacentral:rRNA from 1 species
UCGAGAGGUGUAAGACCUCGGCAUACUGCUCAGUAACACGUGGUUAACCUGCCCUGAGGUGGAGAAUACUCCCGGGAAACUGGGGCUAAUGCUCCAUAGUGGAUAUAUCCUGGAAUGGUAUAUCCUCGAAAGAUCCGUCGCCUUAGGAUGGGACUGCGUCCGAUUAGGUUGUUGGCGGGGUAACGGCCCACCAAGCCUUUUAUCGGUACGGGUUGUGGGAGCAAGAUCCCGGAGAUGGAUUCUGAGACAUGAAUCCAGGCCCUACGGGGCGCAGCAGGCGCGCAAACUUUACAAUGCGAGCAAUCGUGAUAAGGAAACCCUGAGUGCCUGUCGAUGCAGGCUGUUCAUAUAUCUAAAUCAUAUGUGAAGAAAGGGCAGGGCAAGACCGGUGCCAGCCGCCGCGGUAAUACCGGCUGCUCGAGUGAUGGCCACUAUUACUGGGUUUAAAGCGUCCGUAGCUUGACUGUUAGGUCUCUUGGGAAAUCUUCGCGCUCAACGUGAAGGCGUCUAAGAGAUACCGGCAGUCUUGGAACUGGGAGAGGUAAACCGUACUUCGGGGGUAGGAGUGAAAUCUUGUAAUCCUCGAGGGACGACCUAUGGCGAAGGCAGUUUACCAGAACAGCUUCGACAGUGAGGGACGAAAGCUGGGGGAGCAAACGGGAUUAGAUACCCCGGUAGUCCCAGCCGUAAACAAUGUGCGUUAGGUGUGUCGGUAACCACGUGUUACUGAUGCGCCGAAGAGAAAUCGUGAAACGCACCACCUGGGAAGUACGGUCGCAAGGCUGAAACUUAA